rnacentral:lncRNA from 1 species
GGAAAGGCUGGUCUCACUGUCAGCAUGCUCCCCCAACAGCAUCAAGUUUAUUUCCAGGCAGCAGGCGAGCAGGGCUGAGAACUUGUCCCAGGCUACAAGCCUCCCUGCUGACAACAGAAGCAGGGCUUUCAGGUUUUAUGCCUCUCUGCCUGCCACAGCUUCUGUGCUUGUAUCUGCACUCCCUGUUUGACCCCCUCCCCAGAUUCUGUCCAGGAAACUUCAUGUUCGGUAGAAAUUGUUAUAAAAUUCAACUGGAAGUUUUCCUCUCCCUCUGGUUUUUCCUCAAUUCCACUGGCAGCCCUCCCCAAGUUGCAAGAUAAAGACAGAAAAGGCUUCCCUGAGGACUGAGAGUGCCCACAGGGCUCUUGCUGCUGCUUUCUCUACCCCUAUAUUUUGUGCGGCUCUCAGCAUUUGUCUCAGCUCCAGGGAGAAGAGAAGGAAAAGCAGAUGAGUGAACAAGGGCAGAUGGUGCUGGAGAAUUCCAUCAAGUGGGCAUCAAGAAGGGACUGGAGGUUAAAACCUUUGGGAUAAAGAAGAAGAAAAAAAGACAAGCUGGUAAAAAAUGGCACCUGGGCACUGUUUGCUGGGCACAAACAUGGCACUGUUUCCUAGGAGAUGAUUCCUCCAGUUCUUUAAGGUAGUAAUGAAUGACAACAAGAAGUUACUUCUCUAUGCUACACACGGUGUAGAAUCCAGAGCCUGACUGGCUGUGACGCGCCCAUGGUGACACCAAGGGGACUCUGCAUGGGCACAUCCCGGCCCUCCUCCCUGCAUGUUCUCCAAGCCAGGUCUUUGAAACCUCCAGUGAUGGGAAUGACAGAAUCUGGGAUGAUUUUCUUCUGUUUCUUAUCUAAAAAAACAACAAAAAGCUCAGCAUACACGGACUCACACAAACCUUUUGCUAGAGGCAGCUCUGUAGACUUAAGACGCUGUCAUUUUUCAGAAGAACCCAGCUUGCUUUGGAACUACAGUCAGCCCUGCAACCCACCCUCACCUUGGACCCUGCUGCUGCUGUCUGUAAAGACAAUGCUGCGAUGAAUACACCUGUGCAUUCUUUUUUAGAACAAGUGUAAGAAUUCCUAUGUGCAGCUGGAAAAGUGCUGACCAGAGCAUUGUUGAAGGCCGUAUAGUAAGAAUGGCAAAGCUUCCCUACCAGCCCAACUGACUGUUUUGUGGUGCAGAGGCCAUCUAUUAUGUGAGAGAGA